GAUGAACGCUGGCGGCGUGCCUAAUACAUGCAAGUCGAGCGAACGGACGAGAAGCUUGCUUCUCUGAUGUUAGCCGCGGACGUGUGAGUAACACGUGGAGAACCUACCUAUAAGACUGGGAUAAAUUCGGGAAACCGGACCUAAUACCAGAGAAUAAUCUGAGCCGCAUGGGUCAAAAGAGAAAUACGGUCUUGCUGUCACUUAUAGAUGGAUCCGCGCUGCAUUAGCUAGUUGGUAAGGUAACGGCUUACCAAGGCAAGGAUGCAUAGCCGACCCGAGAGGGUGAUUGCCCACCCUGGAACGGAGACACGGUCCAGACUCCUGCGGGAGGCAGCAGUAGGGAAUCUUCCGCAAGGGGGGAAAGCCUGAUAGAGCAAAGCCGCGUGAGUGAUGAAGGUCUUCGGCUCGUAAAGCGCUGUUGUUAGUAAAGAACAAAUGUGCAAGUAACUGGGCUGAUAAUGACGGUACCGGAUGAAUAAGCCACGGCUAACUCCGUG
rnacentral:rRNA from 1 species